rnacentral:rRNA from 1 species
GAAGGAUCAUUACCGAGUGUAGGGUUCCUAGCGAGCCCAACCUCCCACCCGUGUUUACUGUACCUUAGUUGCUUCGGCGGGCCCGCCAUUCAUGGCCGCCGGGGGCUCUCAGCCCCGGGCCCGCGCCCGCCGGAGACACCACGAACUCUGUCUGAUCUAGUGAAGUCUGAGUUGAUUGUAUCGCAAUCAGUUAAAACUUUCAACAAUGGAUCUCUUGGUUCCGGCAUCGAUGAAGAACGCAGCGAAAUGCGAUAACUAGUGUGAAUUGCAGAAUUCCGUGAAUCAUCGAGUCUUUGAACGCACAUUGCGCCCCCUGGUAUUCCGGGGGGCAUGCCUGUCCGAGCGUCAUUGCUGCCCAUCAAGCACGGCUUGUGUGUUGGGUCGUCGUCCCCUCUCCGGGGGGGACGGGCCCCAAAGGCAGCGGCGGCACCGCGUCCGAUCCUCGAGCGUAUGGGGCUUUGUCACCCGCUCUGUAGGCCCGGCCGGCGCUUGCCGAACGCAAAUCAAUCUUUUCCAGGUUGACCUCGGAUCAGGUAGGGAUACCCGCUGAACUUAAGC